rnacentral:rRNA from 1 species
GAUCAUGGCUCAGGAUGAACGCUAGCUACAGGCUUAACACAUGCAAGUCGAGGGGCAGCAUUGGAGUAGCAAUACUCAGAUGGCGACCGGCGCACGGGUGAGUAACACGUAUCCAACCUGCCGCUUACUCGGGGAUAGCCUUUCGAAAGAAAGAUUAAUACCCGAUGGUAUAAAGAGUUCGCAUGUUCUCUUUAUUAAAGAAUUCGGUAAGCGAUGGGGAUGCGUUCCAUUAGAUUGUUGGCGGGGUAACGGCCCACCAAGUCUACGAUGGAUAGGGGUUCUGAGAGGAAGGUCCCCCACAUUGGAACUGAGACACGGUCCAAACUCCUACGGGAGGCAGCAGUGAGGAAUAUUGGUCAAUGGACGAGAGUCUGAACCAGCCAAAAGUAGCGUGAAGGAUGACUGCCCUAUGGGUUGUAAACUUCUUUUAUAAGGGAAUAAAGUGAGGGACGUGUCCCUUUUUGUAUGUACCUUAUGAAUAAGGAUCGGCUAACUCCGUGCCAGCCGCCGC